ensembl:snRNA
GUGUUGUAUGAAAGGAGAGAAGGACAAGGAUGGAAGAGGCUCGGGCCUGACAACACACAUACAGUUAAGGCAUUGCCACCUACUACUACAGUGUUAGACUUAUGAUUUUU